CAGGCAGCACACAUUACAUGGUGUAUCAGCCGAGAGCCAGCCUCCCUACAGUAAUCACGACUGAUAUAUAUUUUAAGAAAAACACACACACAAACACAAAGCACAGAGUCAGCGGGUCAGAGAGAGAGAGAAACAGAAGUGGUUCAACUGUGAUGCACGGUGCAUUUUUUUUUAUUUUUUAAGGAAAUACAAUCUAGGUCAAUCCGCGUUCUCUGAAUGCAUUAACAGUUUGUAAACUUUCUCUCCACCACCACCUCCCCCCCCAACACAUCCACCUCUCGUUGACAUCGGCUCAGUGGCCAGAAUGAGAAUGGGAUCGCACUGCCCUGUUUGCUUGCUGCUGUACGAUCCUGCGAUCGUCCUGUAACGAGCUUCGGAGGAAAAACAUGGACUUUCCCCAGCGAGGGACUCAUGCAGACAAGAGGCUGACGGGGCUGCGAGCAAACCUGCCUGGAAAAGUCAUCCAGAGCUGCACUGCUCACUGCUGAAACCGGAUUCUUAUCAACAGCACCUUUUUUUGGGGGGGUGGUGGGGGGUGAAGAGGCAGCUUUGCACCCCCGAAUUUCUUCUCAGCGCCAAAGCCAAAGAAGGGUUUUGUUUACAGUAGUGACCAGGAGAUUAAUCUUCAUUCCUUGGAGAUUCCAGACAUUCCCAGUGGAUUGGCAACCCAAAGUGGGAACCGCAGCUUCAGAUUGGGCAACUGGUACCAGCCACAGCUCAGGUGAGUGGAGCUGGAAACUUGCCCCACAGUGUAUGAAUUGAUUUGACUGCAGAGACUUGCAUUAAAAAAAAUGCAUUGAUUUGAAAUGUAA